rnacentral:rRNA from 1 species
UCUCAGUACCUCGAGRAAAAGAAAUAACCGAGAUUCCCCCAGUAGCGGCGAGCGAACAGGGAGCAGCCCAGAGUCAACAUCAAUAUUUACCGCAGGAGAAAGAUCUGGAAAGGCUGGCAAUAAAGGGUGAUAGCCCCGUAUCUGAAGCGGUAAGUGUUGUGAACUCGAAGAGUAAGGCGGGACACGUGUUAUCCUGUCUGAAUAUGGGGGGACCAUCCUCCAAGGCUAAAUACUCCUGACUGACCGAUAGUGAACCAGUACCGUGAGGGAAAGGCGAAAAGAACCCCGGCAAGGGGAGUGAAAUAGAACCUGAAACCGUGUACGUACAAGCAGUAGGAGCACCCGAAAAGGUGUGACUGCGUACCUUUUGUAUAAUGGGUCAGCGACUUAUAUUCUGUAGCAAGGUUAACCGCAUAGGGGAGCCGUAGGGAAACCRAGUCUUAACUGGGCGUUAAUUUGCAGGGUAUAGACCCRAAACCCGGUAAUCUACCCAUGGGCRGGUUGAAAUUGGG